rnacentral:rRNA from 1 species
UGGCCAGACUCCUACGGGAGGCAGCAGUGGGGAAUAUUGCACAAUGGGGGGAACCCUGAUGCAGCGAUGCCGCGUGGAGGAAGAAGGUUUUCGGAUUGUAAACUCCUUUUAUCAGGGACGAUAAUGACGGUACCUGAAGAAAAAGCUCCGGCUAACUACGUGCCAGCAGCCGCGGUAAUACGUAGGGGGCAAGCGUUAUCCGGAUUUACUGGGUGUAAAGGGAGCGCAGGCGGCGUGGCAAGUCAGAUGUGAAAACCCGGGGCCCAACCCCGGGAGUGCAUUUGAAACUGCCAUGCUGGAGUGCCGGAGAGGUAAGCGGAAUUCCUAGUGUAGCGGUGAAAUGCGUAGAUAUUAGGAGGAACACCAGUGGCGGAGGCGGCUUACUGGACGGUAACUGACGCUGAGGCUCGAAAGCGUGGGGAGCAAACAGGAUUAGAUACCCGUGUAA